rnacentral:rRNA from 1 species
AGAGUUUGAUCCUGGCUCAGGACGAACGCUGGCGGCGCGCCUAACACAUGCAAGUCGAACGAGAGAGAGGGAGCUUGCUUCCUCAAUCGAGUGGCGAACGGGUGAGUAACGCGUGAGGAACCUGCCUCAAAGAGGGGGACAACAGUUGGAAACGACUGCUAAUACCGCAUAAGCCCACAGCUCGGCAUCGAGCAGAGGGAAAAGGAGCAAUCCGCUUUGAGAUGGCCUCGCGUCCGAUUAGCUGGUUGGUGAGGUAACGGCCCACCAAGGCGACGAUCGGUAGCCGGACUGAGAGGUUGAACGGCCACAUUGGGACUGAGACACGGCCCAGACUCCUACGGGAGGCAGCAGUGGGGAAUAUUGCACAAUGGGGGAAACCCUGAUGCAGCGACGCCGCGUGGAGGAAGAAGGUCUUCGGAUUGUAAACUCCUGUUGUUGAGGAAGAUAAUGACGGUACUCAACAAGGAAGUGACGGCUAACUACGUGCCAGCAGCCGCGGUAAAACGUAGGUCACAAGCGUUGUCCGGAAUUACUGGGUGUAAAGGGAGCGCAGGCGGGAAGACAAGUUGGAAGUGAAAUCUAUGGGCCCAACCCAUAAACUGCUUUCAAAACUGUUUUUCUUGAGUAGUGCAGAGGUAGGCGGAAUUCCCGGUGUAGCGGUGGAAUGCGUAGAUAUCGGGAGGAACACCAGUGGCGAAGGCGGNCUACUGGGCACCAACUGACGCUGAGGCUCGAAAGUGUGGGUAGCAACAGGAUUAGAUACCCUGGUAGUCCACACCGUAAACGAUGAUUACUAGGUGUUGGAGGAUUGACCCCUUCAGUGCCGCAGUUAACACAAUAAGUAAUCCACCUGGGGAGUACGACCGCAAGGUUGAAACUCAAAGGAAUUGACGGGGGCCCGCACAAGCAGUGGAGUAUGUGGUUUAAUUCGACGCAACGCGAAGAACCUUACCAAGUCUUGACAUCCUGCGACGGACAUAGAAAUAUGUGUUUCCUUCGGGACGCAGAGACAGGUGGUGCAUGGUUGUCGUCAGCUCGUGUCGUGAGAUGUUGGGUUAAGUCCCGCAACGAGCGCAACCCUUACUGUCAGUUACUACGCAAGAGGACUCUGGCAGGACUGCCGUUGACAAAACGGAGGAAGGUGGGGAUGACGUCAAAUCAUCAUGCCCUUUAUGACUUGGGCUACACACGUACUACAAUGGCGUUAAACAAAGAGAAGCAAGACCGCGAGGUGGAGCAAAACUCAGAAACAACGUCCCAGUUCGGACUGCAGGCUGCAACUCGCCUGCACGAAGUCGGAAUUGCUAGUAAUCGUGGAUCAGCAUGCCACGGUGAAUACGUUCCCGGGCCUUGACACACCGCCCGUC